rnacentral:rRNA from 1 species
AUGAACGCUGGCGGCGUGCCUAAUACAUGCAAGUCGAGCGAACAGAUGGGGAGCUUGCUCCUCUGACGUUAGCGGCGGACGGGUGAGUAACACGUGGAUAACCUACCUAUAAGACUGGGAUAACUUCGGGAAACCGGAGCUAAUACCGGAUAAUAUAUUGAACCGCAUGGUUCAAUAGUGAAAGACGGUUUUGCUGUCACUUAUAGAUGGAUCCGCGCCGCAUUAGCUAGUUGGUAAGGUAACGGCUUACCAAGGCAACGAUGCGUAGCCGACCUGAGAGGGUGAUCGGCCACACUGGAACUGAGACACGGUCCAGACUCCUACGGGAGGCAGCAGUAGGGAAUCUUCCGCAAUGGGCGAAAGCCUGACGGAGCAACGCCGCGUGAGUGAUGAAGGUCUUCGGAUCGUAAAACUCUGUUAUUAGGGAAGAACAAAUGUGUAAGUAACUAUGCACGUCUUGACGGUACCUAAUCAGAAAGCCACGGCUAACUACGUG